GAUGAAGAACGUAGUGAAAUGCGAUAAGUAAUGUGAAUUGCAGAAUUCAGUGAAUCAUCGAAUCUUUGAACGCACAUUGCGCCCGCCAGUAUUCCGGCGGGCAUGCCUGUCUGAGCGUCAUUUCAACCCUCAUGCCCCUAGGGCGUGGUGUUGGGGAUCGGCCAAAGCCCGCGAGGGACGGCCGGCCCCUAAAUCUAGUGGCGGACCCGUCGUGGCCUCCUCUGCGAAGUAGUGAUAUUCCGCAUCGGAGAGCGAUGAGCCCCUGCCGUUAAACCCCCAACUUUCCAAGGUUGACCUCAGAUCAGGUAGGAAUACCCGCUGAACUUAAGCAUAUCAAUAAGCGGAGGA
rnacentral:misc_RNA from 1 species